rnacentral:lncRNA from 1 species
UGGAAUUUAAGAGUAGAAGAAUGAAGAAUUGAGAAUGGGUUGUAGGAAGAUGUCUUAAUUGUAAGGAGAUGAAUGAAUUGUCAGAAUGUCUCCCCCCCCUCUAAAAUCUCUAACAUGAUAGGGUAUUUAUAAUACUCCUAUCCUACUCCUACUAAACUAAUAAAAUAAAUAACCAAAUCCUAAUAUACUAAUGAAAUCCUUGACCCAAUUGUACUAGGGUAAGGUUACAAAAUUAUAAUCCAAAUAGAAUGAUGAAACACAUAACCUAAUUGCACUAGGUUAAUGUAUUAUGGCAAAAAUCCAGCUUUGUGUCUGUAAGUCCCAAAGUCUUCAGAAAUGCUGUUUUAGCCCGGGACAGAUUUUCCAUGCAGCAGAUUUAGUCCUUUAUGCGUCCAGCUC